AAAGACCUCAUCACGCUCGAGCGAGCCAGUGUUGGAGUGGUGGCGACGAUGACUAUAUUUCCAAGAGAAGUAAGGCACCAUCAGAGCAGAGUGGAGGAUAAGCCCGACAGUGUCAUCGACCCACUGGUAGUCACUAAAGGCAUGGUGGCCACAUUCGUGCGCAAUGACCCAAAUACCAGUGCAAACGCAUCCCUGACAAAUCCAGUAAAUAGGCCAUGCAAGGUAGCAAUACGGGGACGGGAGGAGGUGGAAGUAAGUGAUGGCAAUGUAGUAGAAGACGGACACCAGUAUAAGGUCAUACACAACAUAGGAGAAUGAACGAACGAGAGACCGCUGAAAGCAGUGAGGUGGGAUGGCCUUCUUGAUAUCACCAACUGUGAAAGGUGGCUUUGAGG
rnacentral:lncRNA from 1 species